AAUGAACGUUGGCGGCGUGGAUUAGGCAUGCAAGUCAUACGGGUCGGUGUAGCAAUACAACGGCAAGUGGCGAAAGGGAGAGUAACACGUAGAUACCUACCCUCUGGUCGGGGAUACCGCGGCAUAACCGCAAGUAAUACCCGAUAAAAUCUCCGGAUCAAAGGUGUGAUUCCGCCGGAGGAGGGGUCUGCGUUCUAUCAGCUUGUCGGUGAGGUAAUGGCUCACCAAGGAUAAGACGGAUACGGGGUGUGAGAGCAUGCCCCCGCUCACUGGGACUGAGACACUGCCCAGACACCUACGGGUGGCUGCAGUCGAGAAUCUUCGGCAAUGGGCGCAAGCCUGACCGAGCGACGCCGCGUGCGGGAUGCAGGCCUUCGGGUUGUAAACCGCUGUCGAGGGGAAUGAAGUGUAGGUGGGUACUCCCAUCUAUUUGACAGAUCCCUGGAGGAAGCAUGGGCUAAGUUCGUGCCAGCCGCCGCAGUAAUAC
rnacentral:rRNA from 1 species